AUUGCCCUAGUAACGGCGAGUGAAGCGGCAACAGCUCAAAUUUGAAAUCUGCCUUCGGGCCGAGUUGUAAUUUGUAGAGGAAGCUUUUGGUGAGGCACCUUCUGAGUCCCCUGGAACGGGGCGCCAUAGAGGGUGAGAGCCCCGUAUAGUCGGAUGCCGAUCCAAUGUAAAGCUCCUUCGACGAGUCGAGUAGUUUGGGAAUGCUGCUCAAAAUGGGAGGUAAAUUUCUUCUAAAGCUAAAUACCGGCCAGAGACCGAUAGCGCACAAGUAGAGUGAUCGAAAGAUGAAAAGCACCUUGAAAAGGGGGUUAAAUAGCACGUGAAAUUGUUGAAAGGGAAGCGUUUGCGGCCAGACUUGCGCCGCCCCGAUCAUCCGGUGUUCUCACCGGUGCACUCGGGGCGGCGCAGGCCAGCAUCGGUUUCGGCGGGGGGAUAAAGGCCCGGGGAACGUAGCUCCUUCGGGAGUGUUAUAGCCCCGGGCGUAAUGCCCUCGCCGGGACCGAGGUUCGCGCAUCUGCAAGGAUGCUGGCGUAAUGGCCGCCAACGACCCGUCUUGAAACACGGACCAAGGAGUCAAGGUUUUGCGCGAGUGUUUGGGUGUAAAACCCGCACGCGUAAUGAAAGUGAACGUAGGUGAGAGCUUCGGCGCAUCAUCGACCGAUCCUGAUGUAUUCGGAUGGAUUUGAGUAAGAGCGUUAAGCCUUGGACCCGAAAGAUGGUGAACUAUGCUUGGAUAGGGUGAAGCCAGAGGAAACUCUGGUGGAGGCUCGCAGCGGUUCUGACGUGCAAAUCGAUCGUCAAAUCUGAGCAUGGGGGCGAAAGACUA
rnacentral:rRNA from 1 species